CAGUAGCCGCGGGAAUACGUAGGUCCCGAGCGUUGUCCGGAUUUAUUGGGCGUAAAGGGAGCGCAGGCAGUUUAGUAAGUCUGAAGUUAAAGGCAUUGGCUCAACCAAUGUAUGCUUUGGAAACUGUUAGACUUGAGUGCAGAAGGGGAGAGUGGAAUUCCAUGUGUAGCGGUGAAAUGCGUAGAUAUAUGGAGGAACACCGGUGGCGAAAGCGGCUCUCUGGUCUGUCACUGACGCUGAGGCUCGAAAGCGUGGGUAGCGAACAGGAUUAGAUACCCCCGUAGUCCCUGUCUCUAUACAC
rnacentral:rRNA from 1 species